UGAGAUCGUCGACGUGCUUGAGAAAUACACAUGAGGUUGAGGGGCUUGGCCGCUUGAUCUUAGCAUAAAAACAUAAAUGUUUCAGAUUCUUGUUGUGGUUGAUGGCAACAAUAGAAGCGACAAUCAUGGAUUCGGUACGAAGAAAAUGCCAUGGAAGUUGCAGACGAAUGUCGAAUGAGGAUGAGGCUGGUUUGUGUUUUGCAUUGGAGAAUAUAUUUUUCUUUCAGGAUGUAUAAUGCUGCUGGAGAGAGCAACCGAGAGACUUUUGUAACAUUUUUUGUCACAAGAUCUAGCAUUAUCCUUUGCAAAAUUUGAGACAUAAAUUCAAUGGUUACAUUCACAUUUCACAAAAAAAAAAUGUAAACAUAUUAAGUUUGACAUCUAAUAUUAAUGAAUUCUACAAAUUAAGAUUCGUUGACACCAAAUAUUAAACUUGAUAUACUUACACCUUUAAUAAUUGUUCGUAAAAUAUCCCCUCAAACAAAAAAACUGUUUGUAAAAUAUGAAAGUAACCAAUGUAACCAACGUAGUGAAAGCUCUCAUUAACUAGAUCAAAUAUUAAAAAAUUAUACAGUUUUGAAAUUACUUGGCACUGCAUCAUAAUUAGUAUUUUAUUUAAAAAUAUAAAAUGUCCACUAUUUCAAAAUAUACAUGUUAAUGAAAGUCCAAGUUAUCUAAAAUCUUAGGAGGAUAAUAUACCAUGAUUCAAAGGCUGAGGUAAAAGUUUAAGUAUACCAAUUUUGAUACCUAAUGCAAAGAGGUAUUAAUAAUACACUCACACCCGUCAUCCAUGUUCACAGUUUACUUACAUUUUCCUAUUUCCUAAUAAAAAUUAUGUUCCAAACUCUUGACCAUUCUCCUCACGGCUUUCAUUGUCAUCGUCCAUCAACUAUUGACAGAGUCUUCAAGGUCACACAGAAAACGCAGCAUCAACUUCAACCAUAAUCAUAUACUAUUUAUGGAUUAAAUAUCCCUAUUAAUUUCAUAGGCUGUGGAUCAAAUUAUCGGAAAUGCCCUCAAUGUACCUCCAAAAUCAUGCCAAGUAUUGACUUGAAAUGGAAUCAAUGGAAAACGAGGAGACAGACCGAGUAAACUCCCCCUUUAGUCACCCUGAAAAUUCAAGUAAUUGAUAUGAAGGCAAAUAUUGGCUGAGACCGAGACCAAAGAGUCAUGUGACUUUCUUUAAAUGGUUAAUUAACAUUUAAUCUCAAUCAUCACACUUUCAUAAAAACUAACACUCUUAUUAGAUAUAUUUCCCAUAAUUAAAUCCAAAAUAAAAGUCACAGGUUAAUGACUUUAUCUCUAAUGGUAAAACACAAAUCAUUGUUGCAUAAUAAGGACAAGUUUGUAAAGUAGAACAUAGAGAAAUAUGACACAAACUUUAAAGCAUGGUCUAAGUCAGGCAGUGCAGACAGACUUAAUUUGACAUAUGAGUGGCUUUGCUGCACAUAUUUAAUGUAGUUAUGAUUAAAACAGCUUAGCACUUGCGACCUUAAGUAUGGUCAGAUAGACAUACACCAAUAUACAUAUCAUUUAAAACAGAAGAAACACAAAUAUUUCUGAUAACAUGCAAGCAUGAAACUGGUUCUCAGGAUUCUACAUGGAUACUUGAGCUUGGUUAUGAUCCAGAAGGCUGACAAUAAAAUAAAGAGCCUGAGGACGGGGUUGUUGCUGUGGUCUUUGUUGGUAUGGUUGUUGGGGGUAAUAUGGUUGUUGAGGGAAUUGUUGUAGGUUGUAUAGUGGUUGGUAUAAUGGGGGGUAGUAUGGUGCAGGUCCUUGAGGUCUGGGUGAUUGAUAGUUUGGGUUCUAGGGUGCGGUCAUUUGUGGGGUGAUGUUGGCAACAAAGGGGUGAUUAGGGUACACGGGCUGAG
rnacentral:lncRNA from 1 species